ACCGCGCUGUAAACUCUCCACUUGAAGAGCUCCUGCAGAAGGGGAGGCCCAACCGUUGCCCGAGCGGAUUGGUUCUGCUGUCAGGGCUUGGGAGAUGCAAGCUGAAUGAGAGGGCAGCAGAGCAGCCUGCUUUUGCCUCCGGAGGGCGACAAAGAGCAGCACCAGGGCUAGGUGCCAGCAGGAAGUUGCAUUGGCGUGAGAUGGACGGACCACGUGGGAGGAGAAGAUGAGAUAGUGCCCACGCAGGCGAGGAUGGCAAGCAGAGCACCGGUGCUGAGGCCAGCAGGAGAUCCAAGGGCCUCGGGCCCACAAGCCU